rnacentral:lncRNA from 10 species
GCCGGGCCGCGGCAGGAAGCGCUGCCCGAACUUGCGCAGCUGCAGCGUCGCCUGCUGGUGGAGGUUCUUGCCCAGCUCCCUGGCCACGUCCGGGCGGCCGCUGCGCCGCAGGGCCCGAGCCAGGCGGUCCCAGGACAGGGACGCGGCCUGGGGGGCCAGCCAGGCCGCCAGCGCCUCCCGGCAGCCGUCGGACACCUCUCCAGGCCCGGCUACCCUGCCCGCCGGGUCCUCGGCCGCCUCUCGCCGCCGCCGCCGGCUCGGAGACCCCGACGUGGUGUUGAGCGGCUCAGGCCGCGCCAGCCGGUCUUCAGAAAGCCGGGACAACUCGGCCUCCACGUCGGGCUCGGGCGCCUCCAGGAGCGACCGGAAAUGGCCGCACUCCUCCGGGGUCAGCAGCUCGGCCAGACGGACGGCUGCGUGAGGGCCCAUAGCGUCCACGGCCCCCGCCGGAGCCAGCGCCCAAACCCAGAGCGUGAGGACCAAGGCGCUCGCCAGAGUCCGCGCCGCCAUCCCUGGCGGGAACCAGGGACCGAGGACUGUGCGGGGACGGGGACGUGGACGGGCUCCGCGCCGGUGAUGGGGGAGGGGUUCCGAACGCCCGCGGAUUGUGGGAGGGAGGAGGCUCCGAACAGUCGGGAAGCCUAGUGGAGGAGGGGACUGGGGACAAGGGGGCUGCCAACACCCAGCGACGGAGACGGGGACUCCGACAUGGCACUUGUUGGAGGGUCUCACGAAACUCAGGAACUGGGGUAAGAGGGCUUGCAACACCCAGGAAGGGGGUUCUCAGCCCCCCAGGAGGCUAGGAUUCUGGGCUUUUACAUUGUAGCUCCUGCCCUAGGCCUCCUAAUAGCCACUAAUACCUCAAACUGAACAAGUUACCAACAUCUCUUCUAAUUCAUGUACUCCCCAACCGUUCCCCUUUACGAAAAGCCCUAGACCCCUUGCUCUCCAUUAACUUCGAUAUUCAAUCAAUUCCUACAUUCUCUUUUUUUAUUUUCUUUUGUGCAGAUAGGGGUCUUGCUGUGUUGCGCAGGCUGGUCUCCAGCUCCAGCCUCCGCCUCUGCCACCACCUCCCAAAGUGCUGUGAUGACAGGAAUGAGCCACCAUGCCUGGCCUCAAUUCCUAAAUUCUCCUCUUGUCUACCAAAUACUAAAGUUUAGUAUUUAUUAAAUGAAUCCAUCAUCCCAUUCUCCCACUCCAGUGCAAGUCCAGACCCUCCUCCUCUCUUGCUGGUCCUCCAGCCCCCAUCCUUGCCCCCCAACACUGGGGCCCUGCCUACCUGCACUUAUUCCAUUUCCCCCAAGGAAGCUUGGCUCUGGCUCUCCUUCUGAUCGCGGCCUGCACUCCUCCUGCUGUCAGGCGCCUUUGGGAAGCCCUCCCUGACUCCGAGUCACACCCCUUAGUGGUGUCCCCAUUAGGGACUCCUCCUAUCUGCCCCACAGCACACUGCAGCUCGGCCUUUUUACUGUCUCCGCCAACUAGACUGCAAGGUCCAUACAUUGUCCCCAUGGCAACUAGAGCAUAAUAAGUGUUCAGUAAAGAUUUGUUGAGUCAAUGUGUGAAUUUUUUGUUUUUUUAAGAGACAGGGUCUCCUGCUGCUGCCCAGGCUGGUCUCGGAACUCCUGGGCUCAAGGGAUCCUCCUGCCUCAGCCUCCCAAAGCGCAAGGAUUACAGGCAUGAGCCACAAGGCAGGGCCAUUGUGUGAAUUCUUAACUUGCAAAUCAGUCCUGUCCUCGGCCCCCUAAACUCCCACAAAGGCUUCAUCAUAGAGCCCCAGCUCCUAGCAGGGCAUGGAAGGCCCUCCAUAGUGAGGUCCCCGCUGACUCCUCCAGCCUCACUCCUCCAAUUCCUGCCCUCACUAUCUUGUAACACAACAAGACUCGUGGCACAGCACGUAAGAUGCAGUUUCCAGCCUCCAUACUUUGCCCAGCUAUCCCCCUCCCCUCCUGGGUAGGAAGUUUUCCUGACACCCCACCAAGACCACCACAAGUCAGGAUCUUUUCUGGGCAUUGUUUGUUUGUUUUGUUUUGUUUUGUAUCAGAAUCUCCCUCUGUCACCCAAGUUGGAGUGCAGCGGCAUGAUCUCGGCUCACUGCAACCUCUGUCUCCCAGGUCCAAGUGAUUCUCGUGCCUCAACCUCCCAAGUAGCUUGGACUACAGGUGUGCACCACCAUGCCCAGCUAAUUUUUGUAUUUUUAGUAGAGACUAGGUUUCACCAUGUUGACCAGGCUGGUCUCAAACUCCUGACCUCAAGUGAUCCGUCCACCUUGGCCUCCCAAAGUGCUGGGAUUACAGACGUGAGCCACCGCGCCCCCAGCCAUUUCUUGGCAUUCUUAAGAUAACCUGUGCAUCCUCCACCAGGGCACUCAUCUGGAAAUUAGAGGAUUUAUUCAAGAAACAUCUAUUCAAUGUCUUGUAUGUACCAGAUAAUUGCACUAGGUGUAUGAAUAUAAAGACUACUUUGAUGUGGUCCCCCAUCCCCAGCAGCUUUAUCCAGUUGUAUUUUUAAAUGAUCAAUUUCUGAGCUUUUCCCACCUAGACAUGGGCUCCAGGAAUAGCAGCUGUGCUUGACCCCUUCUGUAUCCUCAGUGCCAGGCCCAAUGUCUGCACACAGUAAGGUGCAAAAUAGAGGAGUGGGGGCAGGUGGGUCUGGACCUCCAAGGGCUGAGAGGCUUGUGGUAAUGGACUCUGGGGCAGUGCCUUAGAGCCCCCACCUCCAGGCACACUCACAUUUGUGUCCUCUUUGCUUUGCAGGGUCUCCCUGAUGCUCACGCUGCCUCCUGUAUGUGUGCAGUGAGCCAUAGCAGGGAGCCUGGGUGCACUACUCCCCUGUGCUCUUGCGCAUGCUCAGCAAUCUUGC